rnacentral:rRNA from 1 species
AACGGGUGAGUAAUAUAUCGGAACGUGCCCAGUCGUGGGGGAUAACGUAGCGAAAGCUACGCUAAUACCGCAUACGAUCUAUGGAUGAAAGCGGGGGAUCGCAAGACCUCGCGCGAUUGGAGCGGCCGAUAUCAGAUUAGGUAGUUGGUGAGGUAAAGGCUCACCAAGCCGACGAUCUGUAGCUGGUCUGAGAGGACGACCAGCCACACUGGGACUGAGACACGGCCCAGACUCCUACGGGAGGCAGCAGUGGGGAAUUUUGGACAAUGGGCGCAAGCCUGAUCCAGCAAUGCCGCGUGCAGGAUGAAGGCCUUCGGGUUGUAAACUGCUUUUGUACGGAACGAAACGGUGAGCUCUAAUACAGUUUGCUAAUGACGGUACCGUAAGAAUAAGCACCGGCUAACUACGUGCCAGCAGCCGCGGUAAUACGUAGGGUGCGAGCGUUAAUCGGAAUUACUGGGCGUAAAGCGUGCGCAGGCGGUGAUGUAAGACAGAUGUGAAAUGCCCGGGCUCAACCUGGGACCUGCAUUUGUGACUGCAUCGCUAGAGUACGG